AAUUGUAUGUGAGUCAAGCAUACUGUGCAUACUAAUUGAAAGCAAACAUAAGAAGCAGAAAAUAACACGUUAGACUUCCUUGGUGUUUCUUAUCUUUCAGGGUAUAGAUUUUAUUACAAACAUCUAUUAUCUGGGUUACACAAAUGGUGGAACAGAAUGGUUUGGUAAUGUACCCAAGACUUCUCAGGAAGUAAGCAGGGGGUCAGAGGACUCUUGUUCUUAGAACUGGCCAGUAAUUACUGAUUACUUGAUUCCUUAUAUCUUAGAUAACAAAUUGGAAUGAAUUUUUGUUCAUAACUGCUGGUUGAAACUCUGGAUGGGCCAGUUCUCUUGGGCAAAGAAUAGUUUAGUUCUUUAGGUGCUCUCUGGAUUCAAAGGGAGCACCACCCAUGUAACUGAAGACAUUUCCUUUUUUUCCUCAACAGUAGAUAAAUUCUGUAGGCAUACCAAGAGUGGAAACCAUAAUAUACCAUAAAGAUUUCUCCAGAGCACACAGGCCCCUUUGAGUAGCUACUUCAGUAUAAUCUAAAGGACAUCACUCCAUAUGAACACCAUGGGCUACAAAGAAAGAUAUUGCUCUCAAUGGUGCCCAGAGACAUCUCACAUCUUCCAGCACAUUAAAGAACCACCCAAACCAUUCUCCAUGGGCUCUCCAGGUCAUUCCAAGAUUUUACUGCAUUGCUGCAGAACACCGCCACCUUUCUUGCCAGCUGGGGCUCCAUUACAAUGAAUCAGCAGCAAUGUUGGCAGCUGGGGUCGCUAAAUGUGAACGCUGGGGAUGGUGCUUACGUGGCAGAGGUGGAGAUGGAAUGAUUUGGAGAGGGUAACUAAUAAUAUACAACAUCUGAUGCAGAAGUGUUGCCAAUGAUUAAUUCUUAUAUUUUCCUCGUGUCUCAGGACAAGACAGUAAUACAUUGUGGUGAUGGAAUUGGUUGCACUGCAUUGAAUUUUAAAGAAAAAUAGAAAGGGAAGUAUUCAGUUUCAUUAGACCAGGUUCAAAUUUCUCCCUGACUUCUAUUUCAGCCUUCUGCUUCAGGGUCUAACUGGCCUGCCUGCGGCACCAUAUGCUUGCAUUUGACAUUGGUUUUACUAAUACCUUUGGAAAUAUAGAGCUAGAAGGAUUAUAUUGUAAAUCCUGAGAAGUAGAGUGUUACCGUGGGAAGGGCAAUGGAUUUGGAGUUCUGCUACUUAGGACCUGUGUGACCUUGAGUAAGUACUUAACCUCUUUGGGCCUCAACUUCCCCAUUUAUAAAAUGAAGGGGUUAGACUACAUGGCCUGAAAAGUCCCAUCCAGCUCUGAAUUUAUAAUUCUGUGACCUUCUCAUAUAUGUCUGUAAGGAACAGAGCUGGGAUUUGAACCCAGGCUGUUUAACUCCAAAGACUCAGCAUUUGUUUGAUUUCCCAACACUAUUUUCAAGGUGAAAAAGCUUUUUCAGUCAAAGUUAAGUGACAAAAGGUAACUUAGUCACCAAUAACUAUCUUGAAGCGGGC
rnacentral:lncRNA from 1 species